ensembl:ncRNA ZK1151.4 ncRNA
GUUAGAAGCCAUUUCCAAAAGUUAUAAACGCGCCGCCGGCAACGUCAAUGCACCAGCGCCGGCGGCGGUGCACUCUGUUUUGGACGCCGCUGCCGCCGGCGUCAUGGAAUUCAGAGCCCUAAUUUCGAGCCCUAUAAGCCAUAAAUUCUAUGAUUUUUAGGUUUCCAAUUGGGUUUUAAAUCCGCCGCCGGCAGCCAAUUUCUCUUUGCAAUGCGUCACUGCCGGCGGCGGCACACGAGGAAUUCAGCGCCCUAAUUUUGAACCCGGUCAGUCACAAAUUUAAUGAUUUUGACACAAAAAUUCAAGUUUCCGAUAGGGAUCAAAAAAGGCCGGCGGCCAAAUUCUCUUCAAUGUGCCAGCGCCUGCGGCAGCGGGUUGAAAUGCUGCACCGCCGCCGGCAGACAACUUCUCAACGCGCAAGUGC